GUCAGCGUGGCCUAGUGGUUGGAGCAUUGGACUAUGACUCUGGAGACCAGGGUUCAAAUCCCGGCUCGACC
rnacentral:tRNA from 1 species